AGAGUUUGAUCAUGGCUCAGAGCGAACGCUGGCGGCGUGCUUAACACAUGCAAGUCGAGUGCGCGGCAGUAGCAAUACAGCUGGCGCACGGCGCACGGGUGCGUAACACGUGGGCAACCUGCCCUCCAAUGGGGGAUACCCCCGCGAAAGCGGGACUAAUACCGCAUGAUAUUCCUGGGACAUCUGUUUCGGGACUCAAAGGUCGCAAGAUCGUUGGAGGAGGGGCCCGCGCCCGAUUAGCUAGUUGGCGAGGUAACGGCUCACCAAGGCUUUGAUCGGUAGCCGGUCUGAGAGGAUGGCCGGCCACACUGGAACUGAGACACGGUCCAGACUCCUACGGGAGGCAGCAGUGGGGAAUCUUGCGCAAUGGGCGAAAGCCUGACGCAGCGACGCCGCGUGGGGGAUGAAGGCCCUCGGGUUGUAAACCGCUGUCAGUUGGGAGGAAGUGCCAGGGGGUUCUCCCCUUGGUUUGACCGAUCUUCAGAGGAAGGACGGGCUAAGUUCGUGCCAGCCGCCGCGGUAAUAC
rnacentral:rRNA from 1 species